rnacentral:rRNA from 1 species
UAUAAAGCGGUAAGCUGGCCGGCAGGCCUAAACAUGCAAGUCGAACGGACCCUUCGGGGUUAGUGGCGGACGGGUGAGUAACACGUGGGAACGUGCCUUUAGGUUCGGAAUAGCUCCUGGAAACGGGUGGUAAUGCCGAAUGUGCCCUUCGGGGGAAAGAUUUAUCGCCUUUAGGGCGGCCCGCGUCUGAUUAGCUAGUUGGUGAGGUAACGGCUCACCAAGGCGACGAUCAGUAGCUGGUCUGAGAGGAUGACCAGCCACACUGGGACUGAGACACGGCCCAGACUCCUACGGGAGGCAGCAGUGGGGAAUCUUGCGCAAUGGGCGAAAGCCUGACGCAGCCAUGCCGCGUGAAUGUUGAAGGUCUUAGGAUUGUAAAAUUCUUUCACCGGAGACGAUAAUGACGGUACCCGGAGAAGAAGCCCCGGCUAACUUCGUGCCAGCAGCCGCGGUAAUACGAGGGGGGCUAGCGUUGCUCGGAAUUACUGGGCGUAAAGGGCGCGUAGGCGGAUCGUUAAGUCAGAGGUGAAAUCCCAGGGCUCAACCCUGGAACUGCCUUUGAUACUGGCGAUCUUGAGUAUGAGAGAGGUAUGUGGAACUCCGAGUGUAGAGGUGAAAUUCGUAGAUAUUCGGAAGAACACCAGUGGCGAAGGCGACAUACUGGCUCAUUACUGACGCUGAGGCGCGAAAGCGUGGGGAGCAAACAGGAUUAGAUACCCUGAUAGUCCACGCCGUAAACGAUGAUUGCUAGUUGUCGGGCUGCAUGCAGUUCGGUGACGCAGCUAACGCAUUAAGCAAUCCGCCUGGG